rnacentral:lncRNA from 1 species
UUAUUGCGCUGGCAGAGCUACUCCCAGAUCAUGCACGAGUAGUUAAUGAUGGUCUGUACAGAGCUGUUGAUAUCUUCCUAAAGGUAACAUUCUUCGCAUCAGUGAGUCAUCUUAUUCGCAUAAUAGCAAAUCUGGAGUUUAGUUAUUUGAAUAAGCUUAACAAUACUCAGUUUCCUUGAACAAGCCUGAUAAUGCUCAAACUCUUGUUGCCAACAUGUAUAUAAGCUUAGUUUCUCUGAUUUAAUUUUUUCUGUUCAAUUGUUAGCUUAAUUUCAUCAGAAUAUAUCAGAACUGAAUCCAUCUACUGUUCUAACAACAAACACUUAUUUUCUUAAUCCCUAUUGUUUUAAUUCUACAAAUCAAGUCUCGCAGACCAUCAUCUGUAAUCAGAAAUCCAAAGUCUUGAGCUUCCUAGAAAUGCUUGAUUUGAUAAUAGGGCUAAUUACCUCCAUUCCAAGGUCUCAGUUCUCAUCACUUGUUGCACAUAUUCCAUGUGCUUUUCUGGAAUCCUUUUACCACUUAAAUUUCAUGAAAUUUUUUUGAUGCAAUACAGGUGGGACAAGGAUUGCAGGUUAAGGUUGCCACAUUGGAAACCUAUAUCCAGAUUAACCCUUACAAGAAACUAAUUUGCAUUAGUAAAGGACUCAACUGAUGAUAAGCUCUUGCCAAAACAAAUAAAACAAGAAUUGUUGGUUAUGAUUUUUCUUUAUAUGGUUUGACUGCUGCCCUGAUAACCAGCAAUGAUCAUAUUGACGAAUUUACAAUUUUUGAUUAUGAACUAACUUUCAGGUUCAUCCCAACAUCAAGGAAUCAGAACGCUACCGCCUAUGCAAAACCAUAGAUUGCCAGAAGCUGUCUCAAGAUGCAUGCAGCCAUGCAGCUCAAAAUGAGCGGCUACCAGUGCAAAUGGCAGUACAAGUUUUGUACUUUGAGCAGAUCAGGCUUCGAAAUGCUAUGAAUGGGAACCAUGAUCAGCUCUUCUUUGGUUUGGUACAUGGUCAAUAUCCUCAAAGAUCAGGUAGUGGAGUAGGGAGUGGGGCCAUCUCCCCAAGGGAUAAUUAUGCAUCAGUGAGGAGAGAGAACAGGGAACUGAAGCUUGAGGUUGCAAGAAUGAGGAUGAGGCUGACUGAUUUAGAGAAAGAUCAUGCCUCGAUGAAACAGGAGCUUGUUCGGGCAAAUCCUGCUAAUAAAUUACUCAGAUCAUUCACCAAAAAGCUAGGUAAGCUGAAUGCACUGUUUCGGAUGAAGGAUGUCAAACCUAUACGUGCAAAGGCUGCUUCAGAUGCCCGGUUUCUGUUUCAGAAGAGGCGGCGCCACUCCAUUUCUUGAGGCUGUGAGUGCAUGGGUUUUCAGUGUCUAAAUUUGUGGUUGUGUUGAUUUCUAUAUAGUUGAUGAUAAAUAUUUGUUUUGCAUGAAAUUUCUAUUCUGUUUCGCACUAACACUCUAGAAAUGUAGUCAAUUCUGUAUUCAAAAGACUAUGUUCCAGAAAUAGUUAAAGGAUUGGAUCUAUGUACAAAGUAAAUAUCAUCUUGCUGCAUCUGUCAUGGUAAUCCUAUGUGAUUUUUGGAAGAGUAUCUAAAAUGGAAACUUAUUUGGAAAAACAGAUCUAGUUUGCUGCAAAUACGAAACAUCCCUAAAUCUGAAGAAGAAAAUGCUAAAUGAUCAAAGAUAUUCAUGAAAUGGAGAUCAAUUUUUUCAGGGAAAAACAUAUGUAAAGAAAUGGAAUCAUAGUAAAACACAGUAAUUUUGGUUUAGUCAUUGUAGAAGGGAUCUGGCUAUCAUGAGAUACAGAAGAUGAUAACCUCCUUUUUCUUUACCUACCAAAAAUGCAGAAUAUAACCUCCUUUUUCUUUACCUCAAGUAAUUCACCAACCCCACCUAAUUCCAACAAAAUUAUUCCCUGAUCAAAAGGGAAUAAUUUAGGAGUCCUUUUUUCUUCUUUUUGUUGUUUGGGGAUGAACAUGUCAAGGAGUUUGGAACUAUAACAGUUGUUGCACCUCAGCUGAUGGUUCACAAUGGGCAGUCUCUUAACACAUUGCAAUCACAUCAAUGUAGACCCACUUUUCUAGCUGGAAUUAGCAAUGUACUGAUUUAUCCUACACGGCAUGUCGCUGAAAAAAAACAAAUGGAAAGAAAAACCUCCAUGAAAUCACCAAGUUUGAACUUUGAAGUUAUAUAAGGAGAGGAGAAGUACCAACAGAGAUGAAAGUUGUGGUGACCAAGGCGAGGAUGUUGGGAAGCAUCCCAACUGGUAGAGGAACGGGGAAGGAAAAAGGUAGGGUAAUCUGAU